rnacentral:rRNA from 1 species
AUGAACGCUGGCGGCGUGCCUAAUCCAUGCAAGUCGAGCGAACGGACGAGAAGCUUGCUUCUCUGAUGUUAGCGGCGGACGGGUGAGUAACACGUGGAUAACCUACCUAUAAGACUGGGAUAACUUCGGGAAACCGGAGCUAAUACCGGAUAAUAUUUUGAACCGCAUGGUUCAAAAGUGAAAGACGGUCUUGCUGUCACUUAUAGAUGGAUCCGCGCUGCAUUAGCUAGUUGGUAAGGUAACGGCUUACCAAGGCAACGAUGCAUAGCCGACCUGAGAGGGUGAUCGGCCACACUGGAACUGAGACACGGUCCAGACUCCUACGGGAGGCAGCAGUAGGGAAUCUUCCGCAAUGGGCGAAAGCCUGACGGAGCAACGCCGCGUGAGUGAUGAAGUUCUUCGGAUCGUAAAACUCUGUUAUUAGGGAAGAACAUAUGUGUAAGUAACUGUGCACAUCUUGACGGUACCUAAUCAGAAAGCCACGGCUAACUACGUG